rnacentral:rRNA from 1 species
GUGUCAGCAGCCGCGGUAAUACCAGCUCCUCGAGUGGUCGGGGCGAUUAUUGGGCCUAAAGCAUCCGUAGCCGGUUCCGUAGGUCCUCUGUUAAAUCCAACCGCUUAACGGUUGACCUGCAGAGGAUACCGCGGGACUAGGAGGCGGGAGAGGCGGACGGUACUCCGCGUGUAGGGGUAAAAUCCUUUGAUCCGCGGAAGACCACCAGUGGCGAAGGCGGUCCGCCAGAACGCGCUCGACGGUGAGGGAUGAAAGCUGGGGGAGCGAACCGGAUUAGAUACCCGGGUAGUCCCAGCCGUAAACGAUGCUAGCUAGAUGAUUCAUUCGCAAGUCGCGAAUGAAGUGUCGCAGGGAAGCCGUUAAGCUAGCCGCCUGGGGAGUACGGUCGCAAGACUGAA